GAAAUUUUAAAAAAUAAUAGUUUUAUUUAAUUAAAUAAUUAGUUGUAAAUUGUAAUAAAUUGUUAAUUUAUUUAUUAAAAAAUAAAGAUAAAUUCAAUUCGGUCUUUAAUUUUGAAUUUCUAAAGAAAAAAAAAGACAUUUCCCAUCGGUUUUCAAUAACAAAAUACUACCCAUUAGAGCUUAAAACAACCAAAGCAGUCCUCAUUAUGAACUACUACCAAUUAAAAGUAAUACAAUUAGUGGAAUAUUAAUUUGGAAUGCAACAACAUGGCUAUCAAACCAGCCAAACAAGCUUAUAAAAUAAUAAAUGUCUCUUGAAGUACUUAAACCAAAACAGCAUCAACACAUAAACUAAUUGAAACCAAACAAAUAAAUAAUAGCAAUGAUUGACCAAACUAGUAACUCUGCUUCUUCUGUGUGCCGGGCAAGCCAGAAACUUUGAUACCUCACCUAGAUGGAAUAGUUAACAAACUGCUUGUACUUCUACAGGUGUGCAAAUAUAGGCACCAAACACAUACUGCAGCAGCACCAUCUUGCCAACGACCUGUUCGAUGCAUCUAACACUAUAAGUAAACCAUCAACCUAAGAAGACACUAAGAAAAUGGAAAGCAGUUGAUCAUUUGAGUUUAAUUUGAAAUAGAAUUAAGUCAAACUUCAAAUUUUGUGAAUUGGAAACUCAAAAUAACCAAAAUUAUUACUAUAUAGCAAGCCAAACCCAAAAAAGAAAUUGAGGUUAAUCAUAAAUUAGGUAACUUACCCAUAUCUGAACCAUUCAAGUGGACAUUUUCAAAUUCAAGGUCAUCAUCAUCCUCAUUAUUACCUAAAACAUUCCUUUGUAGUUUCACCUCUAUGCCAUUUGUAAGAACCUGCAAUUUAUUCAGUGAACCAAGCAUUUAAAUGAAUUCCAAAAAAUCAAGUAGCAACAUAUCACAACAAUUUGGGUACACAAUACGAGAAUACACCCCUCCCCCCUCAAAACCCCACACAUAUAUGUAGAGAGCUACCAUAAGGUUGAAUUAAAAAAGGAAAAUCAUAAAUACUGAAAUAUGGUGGCAUUAGACAAUAAAAGAGAAAAUCUACCUACAAAGUUGUAAAGUUCUAAUGAGAGGAUCUUCAUGAAAUACAGGAGAGCAAAGUAUAAAAAAGAAAAUACUAACCAGAGGUUGAAAAUUAGGGGAAAGGAAAAGAGAGCAAGGAAGUCCACCAGUAUACAAACAAAUAGAAGUAAUCAUAAAAUGCGUUAAACUUGGAAAUCAAGACUUCAACAUAAAAAAAAAAGGGAGCAGACUUAGAAUAGACCAGAUGGCUAUACCAGGACAAUUUCAUUUGCAUCUACAUAUUCAACAAAGAUAUCAAGUUCAUACAACAAAGUUUGGCCAAUAUCAUCAGCGAAUUUCAAAUUCAUUAAAAUUGCUAUCAAAAGUUCUAAACACAACAAAAGAACAAGGUGGGUAACUAAAGGAAUAACCAGCCCUGCAGAAAUGGCAAUAAAAAAUUUUCCAUCAGUGCAUAUCAUAGCUAAAAUCCUCGUACAUCUCAGAAGCUCUUGUGCAGUAAAACUCAACUCUAACACUACGAUUUUAGUUGUUGUUAGCACAUCUCCUAAGGCGUAAGGUAAACUCCGUCAAACAUUUUAUGAUCAACGGUGGUAAUUCCUAAUCUUACAAACAGAUUUAGAAAGAGAACUGGAUUAUAUCUUACAUCGACAUGCUAUUACACUUCACUACUGGUGCGGCAUAUCUACAAAUAUGAGGUUUGCCAAAUGUAUUUAGUUUCCAGUUUUUAAACACAAGUUCAUGUAGAACUGAACGUUCUUUUGCAAUGAAUAAAAAUAGAAUAUGCAUGUGCAGUUAAGAAACCACUUACAUAACCAAGAGACCAACAGUUGAAUUGAAUUUGAUCUAAAUAUGAAUACUUUUUCACAAUCGAAACCAUAAGCAAAUCAAUUACACCCCUAAAAUCAUCUGGUUCAGCAGAUGGAACGUUAACUUUAAGGAGGCAAUAGCCUAAUUAGUCUUAAUAAUUCAUCUUAGCCAAUAUAUGUGGCAAAUAAAGUCUGAUACAUAACUCUGAUAUUUAGCAAAAUCACCUAAUUGUGACUUCCUCAAAUCCAUGAUCAUUUUUUUUGUCAUAUUGGCAAAUUGCUUGACACUCAGCCAAAAGAUGCUGACAUUCCAUGAUCCCUUUUCCAUGACCUUCAAUCCAGUAAUAGCCAAAACCAGUCUAAAUAAGUUCACAUACAUAUUCUUAGUCAACCGUGAUUUACCGAUCUAAUAGUCCAGGCUAACAAUUACAGACAACGGUAAUAGAACUUUCUAGGAAACAAGAAUACUGCUUAGGCUAUUCCUUGAAAGAAACAACAAUGUGUUAAUGCAGUAAAACAUGAUUGAUUAAAUUCCACAAGUGUUAGGUCAAUAGUCAUGCCUCUUAUGACUGAUGUAUACUCUCUUGUCAUUAGAGUAAUCUUACCACCAAUGCAGUAGGAUAACUAUAAAAGGUAACCAAAAUAAUUGAAGUAACAUAAUUGUGUUACUAACCUUUGAAUUUUUUUAUUCACAUAGCAUUUAUAUUCUCAUUGAGUUUCUUUUAGUGCCGCUGUUUGCCACCAAACUGACAUAAAACAGUCAAUGAAAAGAAGCAUGUGCAAAAUCAGUCUAAAGGAAUAGCUAAAGAAAUCAAAAAAUUCUACAAUUGGCUAGAACAAAACUUAUUUUUUCUAUGGAGAAGGAAGGAGAAAGAGCAAAAAUCUCUAGAACAAUACCUCAUUGCAGAGCGCUCUUAUCUCUUAAGCGUCACAACCUCUCAGAGAACUUUCUUUGACACAACCUGAAGAGAACCAAGAAAUUUGGACAUGCAUAAGUAGAAUCAAUUAAGAGAAGAGCUAAAGAACAGGUAGUUCUAGAACAGCCAUAACAUGUAUAUGGAAUUCGAAAAGGGCAGAGGAAAAAUUUCAGGAAAAAAGAUAAUCAGAAGCCAGGAAAAAGAUGAUGUAAGAGAGGGAGAAAAAGCGCUCUGGGAAACCACAACGUACGAUUCUAGAAUUAUGGAUACGAAGAAAGAAGAGAAGAGGCAGGGCUGCGCCACUGCUAUGUUAGGAAAUGGGGGGAGUCCGUCUCUUCUCUUUUUUUGGGGAAGGGGAUCCGUUAGGGUUCUUAAUGGGUGGGGAUUCAGAGAUAACCAAACGACGUCGUUUGGUUUGGUAACAAAUUCU
rnacentral:lncRNA from 1 species